rnacentral:rRNA from 1 species
UACAGAGGUCCCAAGCGUUGUUCGGAAUUACUGGGCGUAAAGGGUUCGUAGGUGGCCCGCUAAGUCAGACGUGAAAUCCUCGGGCUCAACCCGGGAACUGCGUCCGAGACUGGCAGGCUCGAAUCCGGGAGAGGGAUGUGGAAUUCCAGGUGUAGCGGUGAAAUGCGUAGAUAUCUGGAGGAACACCGGUGGCGAAGGCGGCAUCCUGGACCGUUAUUGACGCUGAGGCGCGAAAGCCAGGGGAGCAAACGGG